CAGGUCCCCACUAGAUUAGCUAGACACAGAGUACUGAUUGGUGCAUUCACAAACCCUGAGCUAGACACAGGGUGCUGAUUGGUGCAUUUACAAACCUUGAGCUAGACACAGAGCGCUGAUUGGUGCAUUCACAACCCCUUAGCUAGACAUAAAGGUUCUCCAAGUCCCCACUAGACUCAGGAGCCCAGCUGGCUUCACCCAGUGGAUCCCGCACCGGGGAGCUGGUGGAGCUGUGGGUCAGUCCCGUGAGGUGCGCUGGCACUCCUCAGCCCUUGGGUGGUCGAUGGGACUGGGUGCCGUGGAGCAGGGGGCGACGCUUGUCCGGGAGGCUUGGUUGGUGCAGGAGCCCACGGCGUGGGGGAGGCUCAGGCAUGGCGGGCUGCGGGUCCCGAGCCCUGCCCCGCGGGGAGGCAUCUGAGGCCAGGUUGAUUCUAAGGAAGCCAACAGCCGUGUUGUGAGUACCCAAUGGAAAGUCUGUUGUGGCAGAAAACUGAUGUCUCCAGCCAACAGCACUGAGGCCCUGAGACCUGCCAACUGUCAUGUUACAUCUCAAGGAGAAGGAUUGCCAGAUCAAAAGUCUUGCAGUUAACCAGGCGUGGUGGCAGAUACCUGUAAUCCCAGCUAUUCGGGAGGCUGAGGCAGGAGAAUCGCUUGUACCCGGGAGGCAGAGGUUGCAGUGAGCUGAGACCGCGCCAUUGACUCCUGCCUGAUGACAAGAGAGAAUCUACGUCUCAACAACAACAACACGCUUGGGCACUGUAUUAACUCCAUAAUCGGUUUAUUCAUAAUGCUGCAUCAUCCAACCAUCAUCCAACCUAUUUAUCAUUCACAAUGCCACCUGUGAAUACUGGCUUCCAUUGACUCUUUCAAGAAUUGCUACUGGGCCUCACCAAUGUUGACCACAAAUGCAAGUCAUACUGAGA
rnacentral:lncRNA from 1 species